AACGGAAGAGGUGGCUGUCAUUCAAACAGAUUACGCUCGCACAGGUAAAUUUUGAGUCAGAGUGCUGGCGAGAAAAAACGUGCUCCGCAGGACAGUGUGGAUGGUCUGUUGGUAUGCUUCUUGGUGCCUUUAAACGGGUGCCGGAGGCGGACAGCACUUUUAUUUUGAACUAAUUUGAGUACUCCAAGCAGGCCUUUGUGCCUGAAAAUUCUUGCAUGGAAUAUUGGAAUAGGAGUUAGAUUUUACUUUUGAGGUUUUCACAUCCGAAGUAAUGGUUAAGAGGGACAGACAGGGACAUUUGUGUGGCGGUGAAAUUCUUGAAUCGUCACCAGACAAACUACAGUGAAAGCAUUUGCCAAAAAUGGUUUCAUUGAUCUUGAUCGAAAAUCGGAGGUUCGAGGACGAUCAGAAACCGUCCUAGUUCUGACCAUAACUAAUGCUAAUUGACGAUCCGUCACAAUCUCCAGAAAUCCCUUAAGUCUUGAGGCUCCGUGGGAAGUAUGGUUGCAAAACUGAAACCCAAAAGAAGGGGGGUACUGUAGUGUCUUACUUUUCUAUCCACUUUUAUCUGACAUUAUUGUACAGCUUGUUUUAAUAUGCACAACA
rnacentral:ncRNA from 1 species